AGCAGUCGCCACGGUAAUACGUAGGUGGCAAGCGUUGUCCGGAAUUAUUGGGCGUAAAGCGCGCGCAGGCGGAUAGGUCAGUCUGUCUUGAAAGUUCGGGGCUUAACCCCGUGAUGGGAUGGAAACUGCCAAUCUAGAGUAUCGGAGAGGAAAGUGGAAUUCCUAGUGUAGCGGUGAAAUGCGUAGAUAUUAGGAAGAACACCAGUGGCGAAGGCGACUUUCUGGACGAAAACCGACGCUGAGGCGCGAAAGCCAGGGGAGCGAACGGGAUUAGAUACCCCCGUAGUCCCUGUCUCUUAUACC
rnacentral:rRNA from 1 species